rnacentral:tmRNA from 1 species
GGGGGUGUUACGGUUUCGACGGGGGUGCUGACCGUGUAGGUCGCGUGCCGCGGUUCCUGACUCACCGCGUCAAAACGAAUCAGGAAACACAGCUGCCAACGACAGCAACUACGGCCACAUGGCCGUUGCAGCCUAACAAGCUGCACGCCCUCGUGUGAGGCGCUUCAGUAGCGCAAGGGCGUCACUACAGAAGCUAGCGUGCCGGAGGUCCCGGUCGGCGCGCGAAACUCAGGGACUCGCUCUCGAGAGGGCCCGCCUGUGGGCAUGCUCGGGAGCUAAACCCCAAGUUCGCAGGCUACGCACGUAGACGU